GAAAGGGCAAGAAGUCUCUGAGAUGUAUAGUGCAGAGGAUGCUGGGGCUUAUCUAGUAAAGAGUGUCCUUUUUUGCAGGGAAGGUCACUGUGACUUAGAUGUUUUAGUGACACCAUAAUGGUGGUAAAGGAAAAGAUUCCAUAUUGGAAUAAAGGUCUUUGAACAACUUUGCCAUGGUAUCACACUGAUUUCACAUGGUUGAUGUGUGAAUAAUAAUAAUGAUUAUAAUAAUAACAAUAAUGUGUAAUUACUUGGUUCUCCCAGGGAAGCUGCCAAAGAACAACAGAAAGGUCAUCAUUAAAGUACCAGAAGUCAAGAGUCAGACCAGGAAGAGCCUUCUUACUGAAACAGACAAUGGGAAAGUUCCAAAUACAAUGAAUUCAUAACUUCACAAAUGAGAGAUUUUCAGGCCGCUCUGCAGACAUCUCCUAAUGGGCAAAGAAGGCCUCUUGUUCAUGCAUUAUUUGUCACUAAGUGCCUUGUCACUGGAAUAAGAAAUCUUUUGUGCCUUAAAAGGACACAUUCCAUGUUGUCUAUUGAAGCUCACUUUCCUCUGGAGUUUGCAGAGAGAGACCAUCACAAUGGGUGAGAACUUUGGUAAUUAAGCCAUAAGUCAAUAAGCAUUUACUAAAUGCCUACUAUGUUCUAGACCCUGUAUUCGUUAUUGGGA